AGAAGUUGCCCAGGCUUGUCAACAUGCAUUUUAAAAUAGACAGUUGAGUCGGAUUUGCCGUUUAAAUAUCACUCUCGUCCUGUUACUGGCGUUGGGACAGUAAAAAGGUUGUUGGAUCAAAUCCCCAGAGUUGAAAGCCGAACCUGGACGACGCUGGGCCAGUUGUACGCCGUCCUAUGGGGCUCCCAAUCACGGCCAGAUGUGAUGCAGCUGGGAUUUGAACCAGAAGUGUUUUUUAUGGGGGAGAAGUUAUGGACAUAACAUCACAUUGUUAGUGAAAUUUGGACAGUUUGAUGGGUCAUUUUGCUUGAGAAUUAG